rnacentral:misc_RNA from 1 species
GAGUGCCUAGCACCGCCACCACACGUGUCCAGCUGUGAGCCAGAACUGCACUUCGCCACGCACUCGGAACAGCAACGCCAAGCAAAACAGACGAGUGUCCCAUCACGAGCGCCACCUAUCUUUACGUCGCACAAAUAACAAUAGCACACGCGUGUGGCUCAGAGAAGCAACAAUGGGCUGCGGCUACUCUACGUACUCAGCGCAGGACGAUAUCGUGUGGAAGUACGGCGGCCCACCGGAGGAGCCGCUGAAGGCACUGAAGAUGUUCCCUAAGAAGCAGAACGGUCUUCUCUUUCGUCUUCUGUACGACGACGGUGAGCGCUGGGCCUUCUACAACGACACCCUCGAGUACGAGUUCCACAUCCGCUACUACUUUAGCCGCGACAGCGACAUCGAGGCGCUGCACAACGCCACCUUGUCGGAGCUGGAAAAUGGCAACAAGCUAGUCGAGAUCAUCGUCUACCCGAAGGAGACGCAAGACUUCAUUGUAGGUGUGGCGGGCAGCUACACCAGCACCAUCGAGGCUAUACCCCUCACCGAGCGCUUUCAGUGGGAGAAGACCAAGGAAAAGUACGAGCACAAGCAGUCGAGGCGGAAGUAGUAGCUCCCCGAUCCACCACCUCCCACGCCCCCACUCACCUACUCGGUGGCAUAUUAGUCCGCACUGAUGGCUGCCCUUCGCCCUCCCCUCCCCUCCCUCUCCUCUCAGUUCCGCUACAGACAGCUAAUUACAGCCGUCCUUGUGCAUCGCAUAGUUAUCCUCUCUCUUUUUGUGUUCUCUCUUGAGGCUGCUUUCUGUGUUUUGUGGUGACUCUGCCCCCCCCCACCCCCACCCCCACACACGCACAUCACGCCACAGGCCCUCUCCACUUUAUGGUUGUGUAUUCUUUUCCCCAUCUCUCCGUCUGUAUGCCCUGCGCCGUUGGGCUGACCUGCUCACCGCUCGUUCUUCUCUCUUGCAUGCCUUUUCGUUUUGUGCGCCUCAUGGGGGCAGCGCCUUACACCCACUCACACAGACACACACACACAUCGGCUCACAGGCGCCGACUGUCGCUUGCACGAAGGCAGGAGGCGCUCCGUCCCUUUCCUAGCCCUCCUCCUCUCCCAUCACCGCCCUCGUCUUUAUUCUCUUACAUCGCCUCUCACAGUCGUCUGUGUGUGUGUGUGUGUGUGUGUGUGUGUGUGUUACAGAGUUGGAUCUUUUUUUUAUGUGCCGUGUGUUGCUGCUUGUCCUGCCCUCCGGCGCUGUCGAAAAUAUAUACGGGCCUACGUGUGGGCGGGGUGGGGGUGGGGAGAUGCGAGUGAAAGCGUGAGGGGGAAUCGGAAGGGAGCAAGGGGCGUGCAUGUGACGUCAUUCAUUGUGUUACACUGCGCGCAUGCGCACAACGUAAACAUGUCCCCUUUAACCCCUACCCGCCCACCCUCGCCCCGCCUUAUAUGUAUCUGGCUUCAACCCGCUCCCCUCCCCUCACCCACACACACCCUCUUGACAUCGUUCGCAUCAUUCAGGUUCAUCACUAUUUCUCGUCCCCUUUUUGUUCUUGUGCCGGAUUGUGAACACGCGUGUGCGUGUGCGGCUCCCACGGGCGCACUCUUACGGACGGAGGACACAUGCUCACACAGACGCACAUAUAUAUAUAUAUGUGUGUGUGUGCGGGACUGAAUAGCAGGUCCUGCAUGCACACAUGGGCACGCCUCUUUCCCCACCCCUCUCCAUCUCUUCUGUCCCGUCACUCAUGUAUCCUACCGUUCUCGUUUUCGUUGUUUUCCAUCCUGUGCUUCGUUUCUGUUUUCUUGUCGGGGGUGUGGGGGAGGGUUGUCCUCCCCUCCCCUCACCCCCCCCCACACCUCAGCCUCUCUGUCUGCAUGUUUGUGCGUGUGUGUGUGUGUGCCUCAGAACUC